UACGUAGGUGGCGAGCGUUGUCCGGAUUUACUGGGCGUAAAGAGCGCGCAGGCGGUCGUUCAAGUCGCGUGUGAAAGCCCCCGGCUCAACUGGGGAGGGUCACGCGAUACUGAUCGACUCGAAGGCAGGAGAGGGUAGUGGAAUUCCCGGUGUAGUGGUGAAAUGCGUAGAUAUCGGGAGGAACACCAGUGGCGAAGGCGACUACCUGGCCUGUUCUUGACGCUGAGGCGCGAAAGCUAGGGGAGCGAACGGG
rnacentral:rRNA from 1 species